UUGGAGGGCAAGUCUGGUGCCCGCAGCCGCGGUAAUUCCAGCUCCAAUAGCGUAUAUUAAAGUUGUUGCAGUUAAAAAGCUCGUAGUUGAAUUUCGGGGUUAGUAGGUUGGUCAUGCCUCUGGUAUGUACUGGUCUCACUGAUUCCUCCUUCCUGAUGAGCCGUAAUGCCAUUAAUUUGGUGUUGCGGGGAAUUUGGACUGUUACUUUGAAAAAAUUAGAGUGUUUAAAGCAAGCUAACGCUUGAAUACAUUAGCAUGGAAUAAUGAAAUAGGACGUUCGAUCCUAUUUUGUUGGUUUCUAGGAUUGACGUAAUGAUUAAUAGGGAUAGUUGGGGGCAUUAGUAUUCAAUUGUCAGAGGUGAAAUUCUUGGAUUUAUUGAAGACUAACUACUGCGAAAGCAUUUGCCAAGGAUGUUUUCAUUAAUCAAGAACGAAAGUUAGGGGAUCGAAGACGAUCAGAUACCGUCGUAGUCUUAACCAUAAACUACGCCGACUAGGGAUCGGAUGAUGUUAAUUUUUUAAUGACUCAUUCGGCGCCUUACGGGAAACCAAAGUGUUUGGGUUC
rnacentral:rRNA from 1 species